rnacentral:ncRNA from 1 species
AAUAAAACGUUAAUUAGGAAGUAGUAAUCUCUGUUUUGUAGCUCAGUGAAGUGUUGGUUGGUGUGAAACACGUACAAACGAAGAUGAACGUCACCUAAUAGUUGUAUGCGAUGAAAACCAUACUGGGUGCUCCCAUUACAGAGCUGACGAUUUGAAUUUUAGAUCGAAUAAUGAGAGAUACCCUAUUUGGGUAUAAGUAAGGUGGUACCGCGUGCAGAACGUCCUUUAG